GUUUAGUAAUUGCAAAUGUUAUCAAUUUAUGAAAUUCUUUGGAAUCAAAUUUAGUAAAAUACAUUGAUAUAGACCCUUCAAAUUAUAAAAAGAUCAUCUAUUUUUUGUUAUGGUUCUUUUCGCAACUCUCUUUAUGUAUUUCAGAUUUUCGAUCUCCAUGAUACUAUUAUAUGGAUAUUCUAUAUCAUACUUCUUGCACUUGCAUCUUUGAAUUGACUUAUUUAUAUAAAAAAAUUAAUAAAUAGAUAAAAUUAGUUUUUUUUUAUGAUUGUUUUAUGCAGAGUCACCCACCACAAAUG
rnacentral:lncRNA from 1 species